rnacentral:rRNA from 1 species
UACAGAGGGGGCAAGCGUUAUUCGGAAUUACUGGGCGUAAAGGGCGCGUAGGCGGCCUUCUAAGUCGAACGUGAAAUCCCCGGGCUCAACCCGGGAACUGCGUCCGAUACUGGAAGGCUUGAAUCCGGGAGAGGGAUGCGGAAUUCCAGGUGUAGCGGUGAAAUGCGUAGAUAUCUGGAGGAACACCGGUGGCGAAGGCGGCAUCCUGGGACCGGCAUUGACGCUGAGGCGCGAAAGCCAGGGGAGCAAACGGGAUUA